rnacentral:pre_miRNA from 1 species
UGGUGUGAGAGAUUGAAGCUGCCAGCCUGAUCUGAUCUGACCACCGAAACCUAGCUAGCUACCUAUGCCUUGGGUUGCUGUAGUGCAGGUGCGGCAUGCAGUUGUCAACAACAGCCUGAUCUGAUCCACGAGGAAUUGAAUUCUCACACGUGGAUGGCCUUGGAGAGAUGGACUAGCUAUUCUCUUCGGCCAUUCGGCCAUGCACGCACGCAUGGAGCUUGCUGGAUGCAAUGCAUAUGCAUGACUCUCCGUCAUCAGAUCAUGUGGCAGCUUCACUCUCUCACCAC